GACGAGGGGCCUAGCGUUGUUCGGAAUCACUGGGCGUAAAGCGUAUGUAGGCGGCUUUUCAAGUCAGGUGUGAAAUCCCAUGGCUUAACCAUGGAACUGCAUUUGAUACUGUAAAGCUUGAGUAUUGGAGAGGAUGGUAGAAUUCCUGGUGUAGUGGUGAAAUACGUAGAUAUCAGGAGGAAUACCGGUGGCGAAGGCGGCCAUCUGGCCAAAUACUGACGCUGAGAUACGAAAGUGUGGGGAUCAAACAGG
rnacentral:rRNA from 1 species